AUUCACUGGGGUUUGUGCUAGAGUUUUAUUUCUGAGCAGCAUCUCCUUGUCUCCUUCUCUUCUGGACUACUGUAUUCCCUGGCUUCCAGAUCUCUCAUAUCCCCAAAGAUGUCAUAGGAGACAUUCCAAAGCUCACAGAGCUUAGAUAACAAACAUGUACUGCAUGCACUGCACCGGGCAUGAGUGUGUGAAGCCAACUUGAUCUAUCUGGAUGCAUCCUUGUAUCUUCUCCUACACCUCCAAAGCUCUCCCAUCACGACACUCUCACAGACGUAUGAACUACAGGGAGAAGAUAUCCAUAGAUUAAGUGCCUCAUGCAAAUAAAAAAGGUAUUAAAACAGCAGUGGAGCAGCAGAUGCUAUACCUUGCAUAUUGCUAAAGAUGCUACCUAUGCAGUUCCUAAAAACACGAGCCCUUCUAAUGAG
rnacentral:lncRNA from 1 species